UGUGUGUGUGUGUGUGUGUGUGUUGUCUAUACUCUGAAAAUACAAGUUUAUAAUUACCUUUUUUUGUGUUGUAAAAACAUGAUUCAACGUUCUUUAUUUAUAUUCAGCAAACCCGGGAGGUUGUGUAUUUUGUUCUUAUUGUUGUUAAACAUUUAAUGAAAGAAGAUCAGAUUAAUCAUAUUUGGGUACUAGGCAUGUACAUCUUAUGUAUAAGAAACCAGUUAGGAACCCGGCUAAGAUGUGACUUUUCACCACACAAGCCAUAGAUCUAGUUAGACAAAGGAUUUUAUCUAUUAUUUCAUUUCAUUUAAUUAAUCGUGUGUAUUUGAAUCUAACUCAUGUUUUCAGUUUGAAAAUCAAAUCGAACAGUCUCAACCUGAUCAGAAUAUGCGUGCCUGCUCAAAUAUAUGAUUCUGAAUAAGGGAUGACUUAUGGCAAGUAAACCUUCUUGUAAAGCCUUAAUCCACUACCAAAGCAAGUGAAACUCGUUUUAAGGAGGGAACUGUUGUUUUCGUUGCAUGUUUAUAGAUGAAAUCGAUGUAGUAAAAGUGGGACACAGACAGAUUCAAAUUAGAGAGGAGCACAGCAGUUGCAUGUGUGCCCAUAACAUUGGGGCUGGUUGCCUAGUCACAACGGAACACAGAGCUGGAUCCUGGUCCCUGAGGGUGGCCUCGACAUGCUGACUCAGCCACAUCCCUCAGCUGCAGGCUACAAUUGGCCCCCAGGAGCACAAAUCUGACCCACAUAGCUUGUUGCUAGGUACAAUUCAGCACCACCACACCCUUACUUUACACUUUACUUAUACUAAACAAACAUAACAGCCUUGCUACAGUCUUCUACAGAGAUGUAUUUUCUAUCGUAGUCCAACAUUGCACAAAGAACAUUGCUUUGAACUGAAUUACAGGCUUGAAUAGGCUGUCCUCACUUGACCCAUGAGCCCAUGAGGACAUUGUAACACAGGAAUAAACACCUUGUUUGUGCAGCAUCUGUGUAAUUUAUUAAAUACCUCACAGCCUAGUUAGUGUUUUAUUCUUUGUCCGUUGGGUAAAUUGGCCUUUUUGCCCUCAAAGUAAGGUUUGAAUCUAACAGUGUCCAUAUACUGGUCGAUUGCACACACACACACACACACACACACACACACACACACACACACUCACAUAAAGGGCAGUCAGAUGUGUGGUGGCCUGAGGCUUACUUGCCCUUGGCAACAGAGCGCGCGACCAUCGCCUCCCAUUAACCUUCUCCGAAGAGGGGGAAGAGAACUGCAAACAGACAAGAGCUGAAGACUUUAUAUUUAGAGGUGUGCUGCUGAGGCUCUGCUAGCUACCGGUAUUGCCUUUGUUCCAACGUGUGAAGCAGUGUUUGCAGGCUAGCAGUAACCUGGCAACAGGUUAGGUUUGAUGGUGUGCUUUUAUAUCAAUAUAUAUAUAUAGUAUAUACACUGAAACUGAAAUGGUGUGUUAAGAUACAGAUGAAGAAGGGUUCUUAUUUGAAUAUUGAAGUUGUUGCCCAGAUUAGUUCUUUUCUUGGAUUUUAAAUGUGUGGCAUGUUCAUACUUCCUCAUCUCCACUCUUCUCAGGUUUAAAUACUAUCUUCAACAUACAAAAUAUUAUUCAAGUUAAAUGUUUUUUUUUUCCUGUUAUUGAUACGUAUAGCUAUUUAUCAUUUUUUUUAUUAUUCUUGGUAACAUACUGUCUUUGUGUGCCGGACUGUUUUUACCUAAAGACGUGAAACCGCAUACAUUGUUGGAGCAUGCGCAAUACUUUCCACAGAGAGACCACUUAAUUAACGCAGCUCCGACGUUGCCUUUUUGUGUGUGUGAUCAUCUGUAUCAUCAAGUACUUGGAUAGUAUUGUUUUGAAGGACUUCUUCCUCCCAAUCAAUAAUUCAAGGUGUUCUUUUAAGCAGUGAGUAAACUGCAAAAUGGAUACGGAUCAAUUCAGAUAAGUUGACCUCCAUUAUGUCAUCGUGAAGACCUGAAAGUCAUUUAUUGAUGGCGAAUCAUGACUGACUUUCAAGAUGUUUCAUCGGUAACUCCAUUUAAUAGACUAGUAAUGUGAAUGUAGGGGUAAGAAGAUGGAGUUGACCCUACACU
ensembl:lncRNA